UAGUGUUUUUGGGCUUGAAUUGUGUAUUGACGCCAAGAAAUGGAGUUUUAGGUUUGUAUCUCUUCUCUGCUCUAUGGCGACGUCUGAUCUUCAUCACCAUUUAUCUUCUUCGAUGGAUUCUAGGGUGGUCCUUAUUCUGAGCCAUUAGGUGAAAUUCCAAUGGAGGUUAUUUGUGUCAAAUAUACGAGUGGGAUCUGUAUGUCGGUCUCUUUCGUGUCGUUUGGUUGGUUCAUCGUUUCUGCCACGUUACGGGAAUAACUGGUUCAUCGCCAUUAACAUCUCUCAUUCAAUACUGUGAAAUUUCACCUAUAAAAAGUCUGGACAUUGUUCAUCCACGGCGUCUGUUGGGAUUCACGGCGUUAAGUAGCUUUUAAACUAAUCGGUAUAAAAGAUAAAUUGACGGAGGAGAACCAAGCUUAGAUAACGGUGUCACUCGCCCAUUGUUCUUCCACCGUGCAACUGUUUCAACUCUUGGGAAGCAAGGAAAGUUAAUCGCUGUGGCGAGUUGAUGUCUGAGACUUAUACUCAGGCUUAACUACAAACACCAGCAACGUCCUCUCAAAUUCUCGGAUUCUGUAUUGUUGCUUAAUCAGGCUGUUAGUAUAGUGUGAACAAGUAGCUAAGUACCUACCACUUCUGAACUUCCUUUGUACCAUUCUUGCUUAAUUACUAUGGCCUUAUUGUAUCAAAGCAGGUGGUCAUUCUUGAUGAAGGGUCAUAUAUGCUUAGUGUUUGCUUGAAAAAGGGUGAUUUGUUAUUGUAUAUAUAAAACUAAAAUUUAGGGUAAUGGAAAGGGAUGAACGUCUUCCUGCUCUUACUACAUUUCACGUUCUACCAUGUGCUCUAUUAGCGAGACUGACUUGUUUUUUCUCUUGGAAUGUUUGCAUGAAGCACUAAAGACGUCCUUAGAAUGUUUCAAUAUGAAUUUUUUUUUGCAAAGUCAAUGUCGUAGUACAAACAAGACAAGUUGUUGGUUCAUUCUACUUUCGCUUAUUUUUGUGCACACGUCUUCCUGUAGCAGAAUACAAUUCCAAAUAUAUGAUUUCUCAUUCAUGUAAGAUGACAUGACCAGAAUUGAUAGUAUACUAUAUGUGCUAACAGUAUUACCAAUGUUCAAGCAAAUAUGCUAUGCAAUCAGAUUCUUGGUUUUAGAUUUUUGGGGUUUAAAAAAAACCUGCAAAAGAGCUUAUUUUUUCUUAAUGUUUCAUUGCUCUUAUUGUGCAGGUAGAUCUGAAUAGAGGAGGAGCUCCUUUGCUCGAAAUUGUAACUGAACCUUAAUGGGAAGUGGGGUCGAAGCUGGUGAAUACGCCUGUGAGAUGGAAUAGAUUGUAAGGUAUUUAGGAGUAAGUACAUGAAUAUGCAAGAAGGCUCUCCCCGCUGCGUUGUCAAAAUCCUCAAUCUGUCCAAUUGGGCAACCGGAGAGAAGCAUCCGUCGCCGUUGUGUUAGAGAGACAUAAAACAGAGCAAUACGGUUGAUCUCCUACGGCCAAUUAAAUUGAUAUAAUAUGUCAGAUGAUAAUUCAGAAUUCAUACACUACUCUUCUCCCUGCAACUGAUUGCAUCUACCAUAUUUUUAACUCAGUUGUAUGAGGUAAAUAAAUAUAUGACCAUCGAAGGUCUCCUCGACAAUGCAUUUUCAGCACUGUUUUCAACCUCCAUGCACUCUUCAAACUAAAAACAGAGGACGCUCAACAUAUUGGCUUCAG